AGCCGCUGAAAGAGCUGUUGGUCCCCGCGCGGCGCUCCCCCCCGCGCCAGCGUCCGAGAGGCGCGGGACGUGCUGGAGAGAGGGCUGGAUCGGCGACGAGCUUGCUAGCCAAGAGUCCGUUAAAGCAUGUGCCAACAUGUGCUGAGAACAUUUUAGCGACCAAUUUAAGAAGCUUCUACGUGGUUUUGGAACCUUAGCUGGGAGCCAGUGUUUGUUUGUAUUCUUCGUGUAUAUUAUACAGGUAAAACUUUUUCCGGCUACCGGAUAAGGGGCGCCUCUACCACUAGACGACGUUGCCCUGUCUCGGGUACCUAUGAUUGAAUAGGCUUUGGCAAAAGGCUUGCCUCAGUUUCUCUCCAUAAACUAGUCUGUCAUUGUAUUAGUCAUAUCUUGCUGCGUAACAAAUUACUUCAAAAUCAGCUUAGACAUUUCUUAUAUCACGUGGUUUCUGUGGGUCAGGAGUUUGGGAAGCAGCUUAGCUGGAUGGUUCUGGCUUGGGCAUCUCUAGUUCAGACGACUGCAGCCCUGGUCAGCACCCGAAGUCUUGGCUGGGGCCGGGGAAUCUGCCUCUGAGAUGGUGUGUUCACAUGGCUGGCUGGCAAGUGGGGCUGGUCACGUGCAGGAAGCUCAGAUCCUCACCCCAGAGACUGAACCAUAGGACUGCUGGGGGGUCUUCACAGUACGGCAGCAGGCUUCCUCCAGAGUAUCCGAGAGGAAGGAGACGCCAUCAGGUCGUUCAUGAUCUAGCCUCUGAAGUCACACAGUACCACAUCCGCCCUGUCCUGCUGGUUGCAUGGGCCAGCCCCGAUGCGUGUGGAAAGGGACCUUACAGGAUCGUGAGGAGCCAGCUUGGCUGCCGGCUUACCACAGCCGUUCUGGAAAUACAUGGGUUGCGAAGACAGGGGCUGUUCUGACUUCUUUUCCAACGGCCAUGCUGCGGAGUGGGAUAUCAGUAAGCAAGAAGCGCUACAGAAGAGCUUUCCAGAGAGAGACUACAGCACCCCCUAGGUGAGUGAUGACAGGAUGAACCGGCAUGGGGGAAAAAAAAAAAGCAUCUUGUCAAAAUUACUACUUGUGGACUAAAACAAAAGACACAUUCCCACUAGAACAGAAAUAAAUUUUAAUUUGUUGAAAAGUGCAGCAGUGAACAGGGUCUUUCGAAGGGCACUUUCUAAGUCAGGUGACUGAGAUGACACAAAGCCAGGGCAGAAUGACUUCUAGGAACAGAUGACACAAACACAGGAAUUCACAGAACUCAGUGGGACCUAAGUGGUGGUCAAAGAACCCAAAUAUUCCCAUCUAAUUCAUUGGCAGAUAAGUUGAAGGUACCUUUGCUUUCUCUUAAUAAGGACCUGGAA